CCUACGGGAGGCAGCAGUGAGGAAUAUUGGUCAAUGGCCGGAAGGCUGAACCAGCCAUGCCGCGUGAAGGUCAGUGCCCCAUGGGCGUUAAACCUCCUUUGUGCGGGAGCAAUAAUGGUCACGUGUGGCCAGACGAGAGUACCGUACGAAUAAGCAUCGGCUAACUCCGUUCCAGCCGCCGCGGUAAUACGGGGGAUGCAAGCGUUUUCCGGAUUUAUUGGGGUUUAAGGGUGCGUAGGCUGGGAGGUAAGUCAGCGGUGAAAUGCCCCCGCUCAACGGGGUGAAGUGCCAUUGAUACUGCCUUGCUGGAGUGCGGAUGAGGUAGGAGGAAUGUGUGGUGUAGCGGUGAAAUGCAUAGAUAUCACACAGAACACCGAUUGCGAAGGCAUCUCACGAAUCCGCGAUUGACGCUGAGGCACGAAAGCGUGGGUAUCAAACAGGAUUAGAUACCCGGGUAGUC
rnacentral:rRNA from 1 species